CCGCCCCACUUUAGCUUUUAUUCUUUCAUAUUUUCUUUUCCAAUACUUCCAAGGUUUUUUUUUUUUUUUUUAAGAGGUGUUUGAUAAAGAUAAGAAAAAAAUUAUUUUAAACUUACAAAAUAUUUUUUAAAAAAAAUUUAAAAGUCAAAACUUGAUUAUUAUACUUUUAACUUUCUUUUAAAUUAUAAAUCACUCAAAAAAAAAAUUCAUCCAAACACCUUUAAAUUUCUCCUUUAUUAAACUUAGUAGCAUUGCGCUAUCAUAUUGUCCUUUUAGGAAUCGUUUGGUGUGAGGUACUAAAGUAUAUAAUUCCAAAAUAAAAUAAUAAUUUUAAGAUAAAAUUUUUGAUGCGUCAUUUAAUUAUCAAUAUUCGGGAUAACUUAUUCCGAAACUAACAAAUAGUAUCGGGAUAAGUUAUCCCACACAUAUGGUGGUAUAACAAUUCCAACACAAUUUAUUCUUGAAAUAAAUUAUAAAAUAACAAAAUUACCCUCAAAUUCUUUGAUUAUCACUUUUCUCUCUUUCUAUAUAUAUAUAUUACUUUACUAUUAUAUAUAAGGGAAAAUGUGAGAUUUUAGUAGUUCUCGCAUCAAAUUUUUUUUAUCAUUUUAUCUCUAAUUUAAACUUUAAUUACUCUAUAAAUUUUUGUUCAUAUUGAUAAAUUUGAACAAUUAUAUGAGCUUAUUAAAUGCUACAAAAGUAAUGAGUUAUAAGAAAUUAAUGAUGACACCAUAAAAAUUAUUUAUACAAUCAAAUUCAAAAUUGAUGCAAGAGUUUAUUAUCUUUUUAUUUUGUAGAAAUAUUUAUUAGUCUUACUUUAAAUUUUCAUUUUUCCUAACAAAUUUAUCAUGGACAAGUAAUUAAUAUCUUUUACAUGUCCUUUCUAACUUAGUACAUGCUUAAUUAUUAAAUAAAAAAUUAUUUUUUUUAUAUAGCUAAAAAUGUUGAAUUUUUCUUUUUUAAAAUAUAGUUUAACUCUCAAAUAUGAUACUAAAUAAUGAAAAAUGAGAGUAAUUAUUUUACAUAUUUUUAAUGAUAAUUUUUUUUAACAAAUGGGAUUAUCAAUAUUUUUUAGAAUUUAGGACGAAAUAAGUAAUUUAAAAUGAAAUAUUAAAGCGUUAUACACGUUUAAAAAAUAUUAACAUAAAUUUUUUAACAUGUAUUUUUAAGAAAAAAAAACUACUAACGUUAAAAAAAAAUAGUAACUUUUUAAUUUUUUCUUGUAUCAUUUAAUAUGAAAGAAAAUAAUUGAGCUAAAUAAGGUGAAUGAUAUUUUUGUAAACAAACUAUCAAUUCUUAAAAAAGAAUGCAUUGCAUAUUAUUUUUGAUACCACAAACCAAACAAUCACUAAACAAUAAUUUUAGGAUAAUUAAUCUCAAAACAACUAAUCUCAAUAUAAUUAAUCUCAACAUAACUAAUUUCAGCAUAAUGUGUUUCCCAACUAAAUGACCCCUUACAUUAGUAGUGAAAUAAGGAAGUAAGACAGAACUAGAAGAAGGAAUCAUUUGGUUGGGAAACAAGUUUAUCGUAGAAAUACUUAUUCAGGAUUAGUUAUUUCAAAAUUAGUUAUAUCACUCCUAAUAAGAGAUAAAAAUAACACUACAAUCUCAAAAUAACUAAUUUCAGAAUGAGUUAUCUCAUGCAUUUUAUCUCAAAAAUUGUCCAAGUUAAUCAACAUUUAUCUACCACCUGUAAACCGCAAUAAAAUAAUACGAUGAUAGAAACAUCAAAACAAUAUAAUUAAAUCUAACCUUUACACAAAAAUUUUCUCAAAGUCGUCUGACACUCAUCUACUACCUGUAAACUAUAACAAAAUAAUACGAUAAUAGAAAUGUCAAAAUAAUACAACUAAACGUUACCUUUAGACAAAAAUAUUUCUCAAAACAGAAAUAUAAAAACAAGACAAUUAACCUAACCUUUACCUAAAAAAAUUUCUUAAAGUCGACCGACAUUCAUCUACCGUUUGUAAAUUUAUCUACGAUCUGUAAACUACAACAAAAUAAUAUAAUAGUAAUCACAAAGCUUCAAACAUGCAGCCGAAUCAAGUUAGAUGAAUAUCAAUCAUAUUUUCCCAAUAAGUAAACUGAUUUCUUCGGUAGUUUAACAUGCAUCUCAAUAUUUAUAGAAGUAUUUUAUUAAUAGAGUUCUAUUUUAGGAGUAUUUUUCUAUCCUAUUUUAGAAGUAUUUUUUAAUUGAUCACUACAAAGAAAAAUAUUAAUUGAUUCUCCUUCCAUAUAUUUUAGGAGUCUCAUAUAUUUUAAAAGUCUAGUUAAUAUAAUAAAAAUAAUUAAAUAAUAAAUUGAAGAAAAUAGUGAAAAAAUAAUUUUGUCUAAAGAAAGAUAUUUUAAUAAAGGACAAAAAGUUCUAAUUACUUUUCUACAGAUCUUCAUACUUUUAGUUAUAGAUAAAUUAGCCUUUGUGAUGUUUUUUUUUCUAUGGUUUGUUUUGUUUUUCUUUUUUCUUUCUUCUUUUUUUCUCCAUUUUCCCUCCACAUGUUUUCUUUUUUCCUUUUCAAUUCAAUUUAGUUUUCUUUCCAUUUAUGUAUUUUUUUUUAAUUCUCUUUUUUGCUUUGGACGUUUUUUUUUCUUGUUCUUUUCAAUUCAAAUCAACAUUAUUUUUUAUUUAUUUAAUUUAUUAAUAAACUACAUAUAAAGUAGGAUUUGAAUUGAUUUAGAACUUUAUUUUCUAACUCAAAUAAGGAUUUUAAUUAAUUUCAAAGUUCUAAUAUUAAUAAUAACUAAAUAAUAAUUUGAGAAAAAUAAUGAAAAGAUUCUGUCUAAAGAGGAGAUUUUUAAUGAAGGACAAAAAGUUUAAAUAACUCUAUAUUUCUCUUUAAUUUCUACAAACCUAUUCAAUUUCCUAAAAACUUAUUCAAACUUGAAGAUUCUUGUAAAAUAAAACACAUCAUGUCGAAUUUUUGCUAUAACUAUGAUUUCGUUUCUUUUCUUUUUAGUUGCUACUAUUUCUAUUCUAUGCAUAUUUUCUUAUCGUUUAAAUCAAAAAUUGAAUUGUUAAUGACUAAAAAUCAAUAAAUCAAAAACCGAUAAAAAAAUAACUUGUUGGUUUAAAUUAUUUAAAAAUCGAUAACCGAUAAACAAAAUCGAUAAUACAUAAAAUCGAAUCGGACUGACCGAUGCACAAUUAUUUUUCUUUUUAUAUUUAAAAUCUUUCCUUAUUUCGAACGUUAAAUCUUUACAAAAUCAUUGUUUUUAUUCUUAUUAUUUUUAAAACUUUUUAAAAAUAUGGUACUUCUUAAAUAUUUCUUAUUCUAAUGGUUUUGUAUUUAUUUCUAAAUUUAUCAAAUCUUCUUAAAAUUAAAUUUAAUUGAAUUAGAAUUUAAACUAAUGAAAAAAAGUAUUAGUUGCCAUCAAUUUUGAUGACUUCUAAUAAGGAACUUUUUUUCAUAAAUAUAUUUAAUUAAUUUUCAACACUUAAAUUAGGAAAAAAUAAUGAAAAAACAAAUUUGUCUAAUGCAAAGACUUUUAAUGAAGGACAAAAAGUUCAAAUAAGAUUUCUAAGGACAUUCAUCCUUUUAAUAUAUUAUAAAUAGAUAGAUUAUAAAUUAUAGAUAUAAAUUAUAGAUUAUAUAUAUAGAAUAUAAAUAUAAAUUAAAGAUUAUAGAUGUAGAUUAUAUCAUAGCUGACAAAGUGGCCUAUACGUUCAUUUUUGUCCUUCUUUCAUACUUCCUCCAUUCUAUAUUUAAUUGAUCAUUCUACCUACUGAAGAUAUUUUUUUUUCAUAUUAGUUGAACUCCUUAUUAAAAAUAAUUAUCUCAUAUUAAUUGAUCACCUUAAUAAAUCAAAAAAAUAUUAAUUAAAUUUUUCUCAUAUUAUUCUUAUAAUUAUUUAUUUUUAAAAGUGUUCAUACUUCAUUGUAAAUCUUCAAAAAGAAUUUAAAAAUAAAUUUAAUAAAAUUACCUUCUAAUUAUAAUUUCUUAACAUAUUUAUGAAAAAAUUGACCAACUAAUAUAAAAUGUUGGAAGUGCGAAAUUUAUUUGAAUACACAGAAUCAUUAUUUUAUCAUAACAUUGACUCAACACAACAGUCUUAAAAAAAUUGACUAUUGUUUCGUCGCUCUUCCCUGGAAGCAUCCAAAAGAUCAUCUUAUUAAAUUAAAAAAAUUAUUAAUUAAUUUUUUUAUAUUAUUUUUAUAAUUAAUUAUUUUUAAAAGUGUUCCUAUUUAAUUGUAAUCUUCGAAAAAAUUUAAAAAUAUAUUAAUAAAAUUACCUUCUAAUUAUAAAUUUUUAACAUAUUUAUAAAAAAAUUGAACAACUAAUAUGAAAUGUUGGGAGUAAUAAAUUUAUUUGAAUCCAGAAAAUCAUCUUUCUUUCAUAAUCAUAUGACCAUACUCCAACAAUCUAAAAAACAAUUGACUAUUGUUUCGUCCUCUUCUCUAGAAACAUCCAAAAGGUAUCUAAAUAUCUUUCUAUUCCUCCGCCCCACAUCUUUUAUUCUUUCAUAUUUUCUUUUCCAAUACUUCCAAGGAUAAAGUGAAUGAUAUUUUUAUAAAUAAACUAUCAAUUCUUAAAAAGAAUGUAUUGCAUAUUAUUUUUGAUAUUAUAAAUUAAAUAAUUAUUAAAUAAUAAUUUCAGAAUAAUUAAUCUCAAAAUUAAUUUUAAUAUAAUUAAUCUCAAUAUAACUAAUUCCAACAUAAUGUAUUUCCCUACUAAACACCCCUUGCAUUAGUAGUGAAAUAAGGAAGUAAGACAGAACUAGAAGAAAGAGUCAUUUUGGAAAACAAGUUAUCUUAGAAAUACUUAUUUGGGAUUAAUUAUUUUAAAAUUAGUUAUAUCACUCCUAAUAAGAGAUAAAAAUAACACUAUAAUUUUAAAAUAACUAAUUUCAGAAUGAGUUAUCUCAUGCAUUUUAUUUUAACCAAAUACAAAAUAAAUCUAUCCUAAAAUUAAUCUCAAAAUUAAUCAUCAUUUAUCCCUCCUACCAAACUAUCCAUAAGAUAUGUGAAAGACAUAAAUCACGUAUAAAAACAAUAAUUUCAAAAGAAGAAAAUAAGAGGUGAUAGUAAAUUGUAGAACAUGAAGCUCCAAAAAAGUGCACGGAGGAGUCUAAGAAGUUGUGAGACCUCAACAACGAAGGCGGACAAGAUCGAAAUGAACAAAGUGUACAAACACCAAAUAUAUAUAGAUGUAGUGUUAUAUAAAAUGGUCAAGAUCAAUGAGGCCACUAUGUUUGAAGAAGCUUUAAAGAAAAGGAAUUGGGUAAUCCAACAGGUUGAUAUACUCAAAGGGCAUGGACAUAAUGAUGCUUGCAAGAGUUCCAAGGAAUUGCUUAAACUGAACAGCAAAGAACAAAUUAAGUUGGUGUUGAGGGGAGUGUUGUAAAUUCAUCAUCAAUUUAAUUAAUAUUUAAGACAUGUGAAAGAAGAAUCUAGAAG
rnacentral:lncRNA from 1 species